UUCCAUAUAGUUCAAUGAUACAGAAAAGGCGCGAAGCGACAGGAAGACAGGAUUUUAUCAUAAGGAAGGAACCCAGAGCUUCUAACAACCAGUGGGGGUGCGAAGGCUGACGUUGCCCACUCCAUUGAACAAAGUGGUCCCUUUUUCAUGAA